CCAUCAGGUAAUGCUGGGGACGUCUAAAGGAACUGCCUACGCAAGUAGUGAGGAAGCGGGGAUGACGUCAAAUCAGCACGGCCCUUACGUCCAGGGCUACACACGUGCUACAAUGGCCGAUACAGAGGGCAGCUACCUGGUGACAGGAUGCAAAUCUCCAAAGUCGGUCUCAGUUCGGAUCGGAGUCUGCAACCGACUCCGUGAAGUUGGAUUCGCUAGUAAUCGCGCAUCAGCCAUGGCGCGGUGAAUACGUUCCCGGGCCUU
rnacentral:rRNA from 1 species